rnacentral:lncRNA from 1 species
GGGGUUACACGGUGUGUAAGCAAUUGGAACCAUUAGAUUUCUUAAAAUUUUAAUAAAUGACUGAUUUUAUUUUAUUUUUACUUUCUCCUCUUUCUUUUUUUGUUUUUCUUUCUUUCGUUACUAAUUUACCUUUCUUCCUUUGGUACCUCCUCUAUCAUUUUCCCUUUCUCUUUCUGCGACACUAGCAUCCCCGCGUGGAGGAACCACCGCACCGCCGCAACACUGCGACGAUGACCCACCAAGCGGCGUCGACCCACCGCACGACAUCAAUGAACCACCGCUCCACCGCCACAUGAGCUAACGACAACGACACCACUGCAACCACUAACGACAUUGAAUGAAGACACCGACGACAACAUCAAAGUGCAGCGACUCUUCCUUCCAUGGCAACAACGAGUACACCAUUUUUUAGAUAUGGAAAAAACAACAAAACCCAUUUCUCAAAUCUAGAACAAAACGCAACCAUCUCAAACAACCAGCUCCGAUGCUGCAACUACAAGGAGGAAGAUAAAGAGCAUGAAGAAAUGGGUCGCACCUUCGACGACAAUGCGGCGGACAUCGUCGAUUUCUUGCAGUGAAGGUGAGACGGACGAUGGGUCAUUAACAUCAUGAGUGAAGCUGAGACGGGUGGUGCGUCCAAGUUCACAUAAAAUCAAAAUUAAGAUAUAAUAUACAAGUGAAAAAUAAUUCUUUUAAUUUAAAUUUAUUUUUC